rnacentral:rRNA from 1 species
GACGAACUGCCCAAACGUUGUUCGGAAUCACUGGGCUUAAAGGGCGCGUAGGCGGCAGAUCAAGUCAGGGGUGAAAUCCGGCAGCUCAACUGUCGAAGUGCCUUUGAUACUGAUUUGCUCGAGGGAGAUAGGGGUCUGUGGAACUUCUGGUGGAGCGGUGAAAUGCGUUGAUAUCAGAAGGAACGCCGGUGGCGAAAGCGACGGACUGGAUCUCUUCUGACGCUGAGGCGCGAAAGCUAGGGGAGCAAAAGGG